CCGCGGUAAAACGCGUUACUCCUACGGGAGGCAGCAGUGGGGAAUCUUGCGCAAUGGGCGAAAGCCUGACGCAGCGACGCCGCGCGAGGGAUGACAGCCUUCGGGUUGUAAACCUCUUAGCUACGAAGCGCGGUAGGGGCAGAAGAAGCACCGGCCAACUAC
rnacentral:rRNA from 1 species